rnacentral:rRNA from 1 species
CUGACCUCGGAUCAGGAGAAGCAC